GGGGGCGAACGGUCUCGACUGGGCGGGAAGCAGCGGGGCUGCGCGCCGAGGUUGGUAGGGUCCUCGCAAAACAACCUACCGGACGCGAAUAAGCGUCAACCAGCCUGUUCUCGCCGCGGCCUAAUCCCCGCGGCCGUCUCCCCGGGUCCUGCCGGCGGACCCGGAGGGGGCGUGACGAAGCCGGCUGCGCCUGACCGCCGGGCCUCGGGCGGCCGGGCUAAGACAGAAGGGGCUGGCGCCGGGCCAUCCCGCCUGCGGGAGGGCCCGGUGGCGAGACCAGAACGCAGGCUACGCGCGUAGACGCCUCGCCCUCACCUGUCCAGGACGCGGGUUCGAUUCCCGCCGCCUCCACCA
rnacentral:tmRNA from 1 species